GAGCUUUCAGGCACCACUUUCUUGUCUCUCAUCUUCACUCCCAUGGAUGACACCUUAAAUGAAGGGCUGAUGGACAGCUAUGGAUCCAGAUAAGGAGAGGGGUGUGCCAGUUUCUUCUCUCACACACAAGUUCUCCCAACGAAGCUUCAGUGAUCAUGAAAGUCAAUUUAUUCCAAUUCUUAUGCGUUUACCAAUGGCUAACAGUCCUGGGGGCUCCUUUAAGAUGACAUUAACUGUAAUUAUCUGGUCUCAAAAAUGGGUCUCAUGAUGUUGCCCAGGUUGAUCUCGAUCUCCUGUCUUCAAGUAAUCCUCCUGACUCGGUCCCCAAAGUGCUGGGAUUACAGGCGUGAGCACUGCGCCCGGCCAGUAUUAACCUUAAUGUGUUUCAUUUUAGAUUUCUGUUCUCCCUUGGGCCAUGUUUUAUGUACAUACUCUGACUCAGUCACUUUGAAGUCUGCAAAUUGUCUCACAAAACUGCAUGUGGCUCCUUACAGAUUGAAUCUUUCUUCCCCACGUCUCCCAGGGAUAAUUUCAAAACAUUGAUCAGAAGUCACAAGCUGGCGGCCCAUGAGCCAAAUCCAUUCAUCAGAUGUAUUUCUAUUGUGUGGUUACUGUACAUUGUAUAGUUUUUUUCUAUAGUAUGUUUGAAUCAUUUCAUAUUUAAAAAUUAGGAAAUUUCCUGUAGUAGCCACAUUCCCUGGCUUUUUCUGGAAAUGUGUGAGAUUCAGCAAUACAGAUUUUACUUCCUAUAAGGCAGGAAUCUUCUGCAGGUGAGUAGUGACUGACCCAGGGCAAGUACACAUCAACUUAUCACAUACACCAACAAUCGCUAUUUUUCUGACCUUGACCCACUUCAUUCACACAUGACGUGCCUGUUCAAGCAGCCAGUGGAAAGUGCACCGUGUGGUUAAUAUGCACCAGAAAGCAGGUGUGUGGCUAAUUCUAAAAGUUCUCUCUCCUCACUCUGAGUUUCACGCUGGGGAACUCAUUUCCAAGUAAACGUGCCUUUACUCAGCCUCUCUUCUUUCUACUGAGAUGGGGUUAUUGUUAAGUUCAGGGCUGGUUUCUGGCAAAAUUCUGAAGCUGUUUAAGUUUACUUUAUAUUAUCCCCCUUCUAAUUUCUAUACCCAUUGCAAACUAUUUUAGUGUAUGUGUAUACGUAUGACAUAGAUGUAUGUAUUUUAUGUGUAUUCAAACCCACAUUCUAUUUUUGUUUCUGUGCCCUAAUAUUUGAAUUAUAAAAUAAUGUUGGACCAGGAAAAUACCUAACAAAAAGAGAUAAAUCACUAAUAAACCUGAAGAAAUAUGGCAAGAGACCAAAUGGUAGAGAGAGAACAACAGGUCUUCAGGAGUCUGUAAAUGGUACAUAAUAGAUGUGUGCUGUUGACCAGCUUGCUCUGAGUUUAAAUCUUUCUGUUGUUGAAAUAUGUGGUUAAAUAGGGUUAAAUGAACCCAAAGGAAACAUCAUAGCAACGUUGAUGACCCCUAUGUUGACAUAAAUGGUGCCCAAGUUGUUUCCUGAGGUCAAGGUCCCUGAUACCCAUUCAAAAAUUGUAUUUAAUGAAAUGGAGUCUAGGGCCCUCCGAGGCCUUGAGUUUGUCAUAGUUCCCCAGAAAUGUCAACAUAGGAGGAGCUUUACAAUGAAAUGAUCUUCGAUUUGAUUCGGAGGGUUAUCCUCCUGGCAUUGGUGAAGUCAGGAAAUUCAGAAAUGUCACAGAAAUGAUUGAAAGGUUCUGAAAUCAACUGAGGUUGAGAUGUGCUGGGGUGGAACUCAGGCUCAACUGUGUUCUGGAGAGUGCAGAUAGUAAAGAACGCUGCCUCAGAUGACUGUCCACUUGUGUCUACAGCAAAAGAGCUCAGAAAUCACCAAGAGGGCUGGGCAGCAGAGUGUGGAGGUCCACCGGAUUGGAUUUAGAGGAUGGGGAUGGGGUCAUGCGGCCAUGAAAGAUAAGUCAAAGGGAACAUGGAGGACAAUCAGUAGUGAUGAGAGGAAAUAGCUCCUAUGUCACGGGAUCAUGAGAUGGGGUUUGUGUAGAUGAGCCACUUAACCAGAAGCUUAAGGGACUUAAAGCCAUAUGCAAAUUUCCUCCUCUUCCUAAUCCUCCUCCUAUUCCCCGCCCCGCCCCCCCAUUCCUAUUCCUCCUAAUUCUCAUCCUCCUAUUCCUUCUUCUCCUCCUCCUAUUCCUUUUCCUCCCCACCCCUCUUUCUUCCUUUCCUGUUUCUUCUUCCAUAUUGAGAGCUCAGCAUUUAUACAAAUACUACAUGAAAAGGCCUCAGUUCCUUAAUGAAUUAGAAUCCCAAACCUGAAGUGUAAUGGGAUUUGGAUAAAGGAACUACAGGGUGUCUAUGGCAUCCUAGCACCCAGAAGAGCAGGUACUGGGCUAAUUCUGUGAGACUGAGGAACUGUACAUCCUAGAGGGAAUUACAUGAAUGUUAAAUUUAAGUCUUUAGAUGAAUCCUACAAAAUACUGGAGGACUGUGCUUGGACUCAUGGAUACAAUUUUACUUGGUUUCCACUAAAUGAUGUACCUGCCUGAUGAACAAUGAAAAUCAGCACUCUGAGAAAACCUCCUUUGAAUAAAAUUUGAAAGCUUUUAUCUA